UCCUUUUGGGUGCCGCUGCCGUCGCGACCCAGGGAAGUGGGCAGCAGAGCUGUGGGGAGUGUCUGCCCUUCGAGGAAGCUGGGAAAUGAGGGUGGUCCCGGCGCCGUGGGCCGUGGAGCGCCGUGCCGUCCCUGCAGUGACACCGAGGUGCUCCUAGCCGUCUGCACCAGCGACUUCGCCGUUCGAGGCUCCAUCCAGCAAGUUACCCACGAGCCUGAGCGGCAGGACUCAGCCAUCCACCUGCGCGUGAGCAGACUCUAUCGGCAGAAAAGCAGGGUCUUCGAGCCGGUGCCCGAGGGUGACGGCCACUGGCAGGGGCGCGUCAGGACGCUGCUGGAGUGUGGCGUGCGGCCGGGGCAUGGCGACUUCCUCUUCACUGGCCACAUGCACUUCGGGGAG
rnacentral:lncRNA from 1 species